GGGCCAGUAGCUCAACGGUAGAGCGCUCGCUUGGCUUGCGGGAGGCUUCGGGUUCGAAUCCCGACUGGUCCA
rnacentral:tRNA from 1 species